rnacentral:misc_RNA from 1 species
GAAGACAGAGACUGGACAGGCCCAGUUCAGCCUACUGGGUUCCAGGAGUGGAUUGAAGCCUUAGCAGG